UCUUAUAAAACCAGGGGAACCUGUAUCAUAACUCGAUAGUCCACGAUUAACUCAACCCACUUUUGUAAACACAGCCUGUGUACUGCCGUUGAAAGCACACCUCUAAAAGCAGUGUGCUACUAUGAUUAAACACCAAUAAACCUAGUUUAACUCAUAUACAUCAGGUCAAAGUGCAGCUAAUGAGGGGGUGAUUAUGGGUUACAACCUAAAAAAAGAAAUAGAUUAAAAAUUUAAUAACUUUUAUAAAGUGGACUUGGCUG
rnacentral:rRNA from 1 species